rnacentral:rRNA from 1 species
CAGUAGCCGCGGUAAUACGGAGGGUGCAAGCGUUAAUCGGAAUUACUGGGCGUAAAGCGUGCGCAGGCGGUUUGUUAAGUCAGAUGUGAAAUCCCCGAGCUUAACUUGGGAACUGCAUUUGAAACUGGCAAGCUAGAGUCUUGUAGAGGGGGGUAGAAUUCCAGGUGUAGCGGUGAAAUGCGUAGAGAUCUGGAGGAAUACCGGUGGCGAAGGCGGCCCCCUGGACAAAGACUGACGCUCAGGUGCGAAAGCGUGGGGAGCAAACAGGAUUAGAUACCCGCGUAGUCCCUGUCUCUUAUAC